rnacentral:rRNA from 1 species
UACGGAGGGUGUAAGCGUUAUCCGGAUUCACUGGGUUUAAAGGGUGCGUAGGCGGACACUUAAGUCCGUGGUGAAAUCUCUGGGCUUAACCCAGAAACUGCCAUGGAUACUAUUUGUCUUGAAUGUUGUGGAGGUUAGCGGAAUAUGUCAUGUAGCGGUGAAAUGCAUAGAUAUGACAUAGAACACCAAUUGCGAAGGCAGCUGGCUACACAAAUAUUGACGCUGAGGCACGAAAGCGUGGGGAUCAAACAGG